UACAGAGGUCUCGAGCGUUAGGCUGAAUCACUGGGCUUAAAGCGUGUGUAGGCGGAUCGUUAAGUGCCUUGUGAAAUCCCACGGCUCAACCGUGGAACUGCUGGGUAUACUGGCGAUCUUGAGCCACCUAGGGGCGAGCGGAACAAGCGGUGGAGCGGUGAAAUGCGUAGAUAUCGCUUGGAACGCCAAUGGUGAAAACAGCUCGCUGGGGGUGUGCUGACGCUGAGACACGAAAGCCAGGGGAGCGAACGGG
rnacentral:rRNA from 1 species